AGAUUACCAGCUACUGUCGGUGAGAAUCGGACAUUUGUAACCUCUACUCAGCACAUUUCACAUUGCACCUGUCUCUGUCCGUGGACUUCUUGAAAGGCGCCCACAUCUCUCGGCCGCUGCGAACCUGGAUUAUUUCACAACACCUCGCCAGCUGUCGCAGGUGACCUGGGGUGGUCCCUGAGAGACAGACUGUGGGGAAACUGAGGCAAGCAGUUUCUGGAACCAGAGCUGGAAGUGGAGAAGCCCGAGCAGGUGCACCACGAAGACCUGAGUGUCUCUCCUACACUGGUCAGUCAUGGGCCAGCAGAGAGCAAAGAAUCCAGAAGGUGAGGCUGGACCACUCACUAAGAUGACAGCUCAAGUUGGAGAUGUGAGCUCUUAGAUUCCUGUUCUAGGGAUCAUGCCUUGCUGCCUGCUGACCACCAACUGCUGCUGUGCCUCCCCACUAUGAUAAAUUCAUCCCCCUGAAGAUGUAAGCUCAAAUGAACCCUUCCUUCUAUCAGUAAACUUGCUCAUGAUAUUUUAUCACAGCAACAGACGAGUAACUGCUAACCUCCCUAAUAAAUGGUCUGUCAUUCCUCCUUG